UUUUUAGCAAAAAACGAAACCAAACCGAAAUUUCGGUUCGGUUCGGUUCAAAUUUUUUCGGUUCGGUUUUUUUCGGUUUUGGUUUUUUUUGGUUUGGUUUCAGUCCGGUUCGGUUUUUUCCAUGAUUUUUUUUAAUUUGUAACAAAUCUGCAACGAUUGAUUGCGAGCACUGAAGAUGCAAAAACUUAUUGGGUGUUGGUGUAAAUGAAUAUGAACUAGAACAAAUCUGCAAAUCUACAUUGGAAUAAAUCUGCAAAUAAAUACGAACUGGAACAAAUCUGCAAAUGAAUACAAAAAUUACAAUAUAAAAUCCCAACAAAUCUGCAAAGAUUAUAACAUGCAAAAUCCCAACUAAUAAUUAAAAGAAAAACCCAUUUUAAUUCAGUAAAUCACAAUAUAAAAUCCCAACAAAUCUGCAAAUGAAUACGAAAAUUACAAUAUAAAAUCCCAACAAAUCUGCAAAGAUUAUAACAUGAAAAAUCCCAACAAAUAAUUAAAAGAAAAACCCAUUUUAAUUCAGUAAAUCACAAUAUAAAAUUAUAAAUCAUAUUAGUUUUGAUUCAAAAAUUACCUGUGAGAGAUCGGAAAACCCGGAUUAGAAUCUUCCAAUUUGGAGGGGGUUCUGAUUCGAAAGGGGCGAGGGAAAAUCAUGGUUUGGAAGAAGGAAUCCGCGAGGAGGACAUGAAAAGACUGGAGAGGGAGUGAUUUGGAGGAAGAAAGGAAGGAGAGAGAGAGAGAAAGAGAGAGAGGCUGAGGAAGCAAAGGCAAAGAGAGGAAGUAGCGGAGGGGAGAGUGUUUGAAAUCUGAAAUGGGAAGUGAGACAAAGUGUGAGACGGCUAGGGUUUGUAGAGUUAAG
rnacentral:lncRNA from 1 species